UACUUCAGUUCCUCCGCCCGCGCCCUCCCCGCCCGGCCACUUCCCACCCUUGCGCCCGGGGUUCUGCGGAGCGCGCAGACGCGGUGGGCGCGGGCCUCCGCAGGCCCCUGUCGUCGUCUGACCCCUCCGGGCGUGGGCCUGGGGCUGGCGGCCGGGACCCCCGGCUCUGGGCCUCCCACUUUGGGCCUCAGUUUCCACAUCUACAAAGCGGGGAGACCCCUUUCUGGAGGGCGAGUGAGCGGGCUCCUCCCCAAAGCAAAGAGAACUCCGAGCCUCGGACUCUUCCCGUCUGAAAUCCGUGGGAACACCAGCUCCAACAGAUCAUUCUGUCCUUUCUUGGAAACAAGAUCCAGGGAUGUUCUUCCAAAGGGAACCUUAGAUUUUGUGGUGGAACCUGUGUCCAGAUAGGAAGCCUACACACAGAUGGAGGGAGGCUACCUGAGUGCAGGAAACAAACACGUCUUGACUGUAACCUCAGCAUUUAGCUGGGAUGCGCCAGGAUGCCAGUGUUCCCCAGGAACUCCGUUUGAAAACCACUGAACUAGAGUUUGGAAGUUAAAAGUGGUAUUUUGUGCGUAACGAGUGGUCUGAUGUCCCCAUCUCCGUGAACUCUGUCUUUGGAGAGCCGUCAGAACCGGCUGUACUGAGGCGGGGCUUCUCACAUUCCGCAGCUGGGCCUCCGAGGCAGAGGGGCAGGGGCCUCACAGCUGCUGUCUAUCCCACUCGUGUUGCAGCCCGAGAACAAUGCGUCCUGCUGACUGAGGGAGGAGAGUAAUGCUCCGCUGUUGGCGCGGUGGCUAAAGGGGGGCUCCGAGCGUGGGGAUCCCUGCAUGCUCUCUCCUUUCGUCCGGAGUUUUCUCGGGAGCUUAGCCGCUUUUCUGAGAUGUGCUGUUAUGCUGGGAAGUUGGGGGUGGAAAUCCAGUAUCCCAUACAACGCCGAAAACACACACACCAGAACUCAGACCACACUUAGCCCAGAGGAGGCCCUUCUCGCAGGUUUGGGUGGGCUUAGCUCUGCAGACUCCUACGAUCCUGAGCGAAGCAGAAGUAAGAUGUCUAGGGGGAGAGGUCCAACUCACGG